AGGAGAAAACAGAGGGGGUGGCAACCAAGAAACAGCCUCUUAACUAUAGAGAACACAUUGAUGGUAACCAGAGGGGAGUCAACUCAGAGACCUCAAGGCUAUAUCUAUGAAUUCCAGGACUGCCCAGAAGGGAGUUUGAGAAAACUACUUUGGAAUAGCGGUUCUCAUUUCGGUGGAGGAGUUACUUGACUUCUUCAGGCACUGGAUCUGCAUAACUUGAAAUAUCUAAAGAUGUAUGUAUUUAUUUGAGAAAGAGAGCGCGUGAGAGCAGGAGGAUCAGAAGGAGAGGGGGAGAGAAUCUCAACCAGACUCCCCACUGAAAAUGGAGCCCAGCAGGGGACUUAAUCUCAAAACACUGAGAUUGGGACCUGAGCCAAAACCAAGAGUUGAUGGUACAACCUCCUGCACCACCCAGGUACCCCUAAAAUGGCACAUUUCUUUAGUUUUUCUUGAAAUUAUAUAAAAUCAUACCAUAGCAAGGAUUAUAUAAUUCUUAUUAAAUACUCUUAGAGUAUCAUUACAGAUCUUUGACGAAUAAAAAGCAAAUACCACAAAAUAUUGGAUCAAUUGGACAAAGGUUGAAUCCUCCAUGAUAUAGAUUGGAUGUUAGUGGGUUAGACUAGAUGAUCAUGAAGAGAUUUAUAGCUCUAGCAUUCCUAGAUCAUAUUACAUACAUUGUUGCUCCAAUAUCUGCAACUCCUUUGUUCUUGCCAAUUGAAUAUAUACUUAUCAUCACAUUAGCUCUCCUGAUGUUUUGUUUAUAUGGCACCAACUCUGCAGUUAUUUGGAAACCCCAGGUGAUUGAAUGAAGUUUUCCCUUUGUAUGUGAAGGUUUGACAUCAAUUAAUGCAACAAGAAAGUCAUUAAUUUAAUUAAUAAUCACUGAAAAUUCUCCCUU